GAUGAAGAACGUAGCGAAAUGCGAUACGUAGUGUGAAUUGCAGAAUUCAGUGAAUCAUCGAAUCUUUGAACGCACAUUGCACCUCUCGGUAUUCCGGGAGGUAUGCCUGUUCUAGCGUCAUUUGUACCCUCAAGCUCUGCUUGGUGUUGGGUGUUUGUUCCGCCUCUGUGUGUGAACUCGCCUCAAAACAAUUGGCAGCCGGCGUACUUGUUUCGGAGCGCAGCACAUUUUGCGAUCCAGAUCAACGUACAGCGGCAUCCAAGAAGCCUUAUUUAACGCUCUUGACCUCGGAUCAGGUAGGGAUACCCGCUGAACUUAAGCAUAUCAAUAAGCGGAGGA
rnacentral:misc_RNA from 1 species